rnacentral:lncRNA from 1 species
ACAGCAUGAAACAUCUAACCUUGUUUUACAAAAUGAUGUCUCUUGCAGGCUGAGAUUUACUUGGGCCGAUUUACUUGGUGCUGGGUGCUGAAACCUUCCCGGAGGCACAGAGACAAAAACACAGCUGAUGUGAGAGCAGCAGGGGCUCACUCCACAACUGUCCUGAAAUGCAGCCCCUCGUGCUGAGUGUUGUACAGAACAUGGACACAGAUGCUGCUGCUUCGUCCUUGGAGCCUUGGGGAAGCACUGGAGUGAGUGGCAGCCGAGGCAUUUCACACCUCAGUGAGCACAUCCUCCCCAGGGCCAGGGAACAUCUUGAACAAUGGAUGGAUCAGGAAGAUGAUGAAUAGCCUGAAAUGCUGAUGAAGAACAUUCUCUUCUCAUUGACUCAAACUCAAGAAGAUAGAUGUUAAUAUUAUUUUAAAGCCACCUUCAUUGGAUUCUACCUUCUCUAUGCAAUCCACUUAUAUGAUCUCAUUGUCAGGUUAACUGAACACUUUACAGAUUUAAAGGCAUUUAUUCUCCCAAGAGCCCCAUGAAGGAGGAAAAUACAGUUGUCCCAUUAUAUGGGUUUGGAGCUGUGGCACAGAGGUGCAGCGUCACACACGGUGAGGCAGGGAAUUAAACACAGCUUUCCUAAAUCCCAGGCUGUCACCCUAACUACUGUUCCUGCACAUUUUACAGCAAAAUGAGUGGUUAAACUUGAGUCCCUGCUCUGGGUUUCCUCCUACCUACAUUAAUCUCUGAGCACCUUAGCAAACCUGAAAGAGUGCUACAUCAACAGGAUGGAGAGGGUCAGUAGAAGAAGUGUCCCAUUUAUUACAGCUUCUUGAUCAUGACUGAAUGGAUCACAUGCCUUAGGAUCCACUGGCAAAAGGUAAAUAGUUCCCAGAGGUAAUCUUUCAGCUGCUAAGAAUGGGAUACAAUACCUUACAAGAGUACAAAUGAGCUGUCAGAGAUGAUAAAAGCAGGUACAGCCUGGACUCGAUGCGCAGGAAAGGAUCAUAUUUCAGAAGUUCAAAAAGGGUUCAAAUUAAAAACAAGCAAACAAAAAAAACCCCAAAACCAAACAAACAAACAAACAAAAAAAUAAAAAAAAACAAAACAAAACCCA